UUAGGAAUCUUCCACAAUGGACGAAAGUCUGAUGGAGCAACGCCGCGUGCAGGAUGAAUGCCUUAGGGUUGUAAACUGCUUUUAUAUGUGACGAAUAUGACGGUAGCAUAUGAAUAAGGAUCGGCUAACUCCGUGCCAGCAGCCGCGGUCAUACGGAGGAUCCAAGCGUUAUCCGGAUUUACUGGGCGUAAAGAGUUGCGUAGGUGGUAAUUCAAGUGAAUAGUGAAAUCUUGUGGCUCAACCAUAAGGCUAUUAUUCAAACUGAGUUACUCGAGAAUGAGAGAGGUCACUGGAAUUUCUUGUGUAGGAGUGAAAUCCGUAGAUAUAAGAAGGAACACCAAUGGCGUAGGCAGGUGACUGGCUCAUUUCUGACACUGAGGCACGAAAGCGUGGGGAGCGAACG
rnacentral:rRNA from 1 species